AAGCUGUUCUUUUUAAUCUAACCUACAGAAUAAAAUCUGUGGACAAAGUGCUCCUGGCUGAGUGGAUAAGGGAGCUAAACAACGCGGAGCAAGCACAGACCAAUUUAGUGCCUCUCCCAGCCACAGCACGAAGGUGGCAGUCAGAACGAGGACACAGCUCUGUCCCAAGGCGCUUGUGUGCUUGUGUGAAGAGGCUGAAUCAGGACAGGACAGGAGUGGGGACUCAGAAGAAGCUGGGCCUGCCCCGAGUUCUGGCAGAUGGACUCCAGCGGGGACGCCACAUGAGGCCAGCGCUUCAGCAGGGACAGGUGGGGUCCCUGGGACCCUCCACUCCUUCUGGCUCAUUUCUGGACUGCAGUCUGUGCUGGCCCAGGGCGACCCUGCUCUGGUCGGCUCUCCUCCCCAGCAGCCCCUGCAGGCUCUCUCCCCCUCUGUUUGACGUCUGUCCUGCUGGACACCCACCCACAGGGCUGCCCCAGCAGUGGGGAGCCGGCGGGCAGGCGUCCCGGGACUCCCGCAGACGCCCACUAUGAGGGAACCUUGCUUCCUUUAAACUAGCAGAGGCAAGUCAUGAGUCGUCACCUUUAUCUGGUCCAGGGAAACUAUUUUGUGACUUAACCAGCUUCCCAAACCAGAGUCUGCCCCAAGGAAAAGAGAAAAUUACUUUAAUGACUAGCUAUACCUUGAAGAAGGAGCAAAGUAGCAUUUAGAAUAAAUAGAGUCGCCUUGUAAGUCUGUAGCCAAGUGCUUGCAAGAGAUUAAAGGGAGAUGAGAAGAGAUAUAAAAUACAGGACCAAAAUAGCAAAAUAAGAAAGUCCUUUCAUCCUAAAUUUGACUUAUAAAUGUCAUUGAACUCAUGAUUUUUUUUUUUUUUUUUUAGGAAAACAAAAACAACCAAAGGAACAAAGCUUACUUCUUAGCUCUGUCAACCAAGCAGGGUUAGAAAGUCAGCAUCCCUCAGGCCAGGACUGCCACCUCCGAGGGCCCAACUCCAUCAGAAAGGACAGAGCUCUUCUGAGCAACAUAAGGUGGGAGAAGCAGUAUUUGAGGAUAAAAAGUGUCAUGGUUCAAAAAUGGAUUUUUGAAAUAACAAAUGACAAAAGCUAUAAUGAAAACCUAAAAUGAUGGCCCCAAACAACUCAAAAGUCAAAUGCAUAGAACCCCAAGACUGGCCAGAGUGCUCUGGAGGUGGUGCAGGGGAUAUGCACCUGGCUGUUGCCUUACGAUGUGACCCGAUCAGUGGCCCCAGGUUUGUGAUUCACUGAGGAUGGUUGAUAAAGAAC
rnacentral:lncRNA from 1 species